CGAAGCGGCAAGUCGGUGACGGCAAGCAAAUCUCUUAAAGCCAGUCUCAGUUCGGAUUGUAGGCUGCAACUCGCCUACAUGAAGUCGGAAUCGCUAGUAAUCGCGGAUCAGCACGCCGCGGUGAAUACGUUCCCGGGCCUUGUACACACCGCCCGUCACACCACGAGAGUUUGUAACACCCGAAGUCGGUGAGGUAACCUAUUAGGAGCCAGCCGCCUAAGGUGGGAUAGAUGAUUGGGGUGAAGUCGUAACAAGGUAUC
rnacentral:rRNA from 1 species